rnacentral:rRNA from 1 species
UACAGAGGUCCCAAGCGUUGUUCGGAUUCACUGGGCGUAAAGGGUGCGUAGGUGGCGAGGUAAGUCGGAUGUGAAAGCUCGGAGCUCAACUCCGAAAUGGCAUUGGAAACUACCUUGCUCGAGGGUUGGAGGGGGGACUGGAAUGCUUGGUGUAGCAGUGAAAUGCGUAGAUAUCAAGCGGAACACCAGUGGCGAAGGCGGGUCUCUGGACAGUUCCUGACGCUGAGGCACGAAGGCCAGGGGAGCAAACGGG